ACGUACAUGUUUUCCUCUAGAGGAAAAAAAUUAAAUUUUCUAUCUGCAUAGAGAGAAAAUCGCUUCGCGCUAAUCUCUCUGAAUCUGCAUCGAGAGAACAUCACCGGAGAACAUCACCAUCUGAACUAAAUCGAACAUGACCAUCCGAACAUCACCAUCUAGACAAUUUCGACAAAAACGAGGAUGUCCACAUCGUCGUGUAAUAUGAGCCAUGGGAGUUGGCUAAGGCCAGAAGUCGUGGUUUGUAAUCAUGGAAUUGAAGCUCAAGUUGUAACAUCGAAGACGGAUGCCAAUCCUGGACGACGUUUCGAUCGGUGCUAUAUUUGGAAGGAGGAUGAAUGCAAGUUCUUCCGCUGGAUUGAUCCAUCUUUGUCACCGAAUCAAGAGAACUAUAUGCAAAAAUUGAAAAUGGAGAAGGACAACAUGCUAAAAGCAUUGCAAGCGAGAGUUGCUAUGCAUGAUAUGCUAAUAGAGAAAGUCUGUUCCAAAGAGGUUGAAUUGGAAUCACUCCAAAUAGUGGCUGAAAAUUUGCGUCGACAGAACCGGAACUUGAAGUAUGCCAUUUUGUGUUUAUGUGUUGUGGUCUGGCUUCUUAUCUAGACUAUAAUAGUCCAGGUUAUGUAAUAGUCUAAUGUAUGUCACAUAUGUCUAGGAUUUUACAUUGAAGUUCUAAUGUAUCCUCAACUUAAUCUUCGUCGUAGACUUUAUGAAAUUUUCAAUGCAGAUGCAGUGUUAACUUAAUUCAUUUA